rnacentral:rRNA from 1 species
GAUGAACGCUGGCGGCGUGCCUAAUACAUGCAAGUCGAGCGAACAGACGAGGAGCUUGCUCCUCUGACGUUAGCGGCGGACGGGUGAGUAACACGUGGAUAACCUACCUAUAAGACUGGGAUAACUUCGGGAAACCGGAGCUAAUACCGGAUAAUAUAUUGAACCGCAUGGUUCAAUAGUGAAAGGCGGUUUUGCUGUCACUUAUAGAUGGAUCCGCGCCGCAUUAGCUAGUUGGUAAGGUAACGGCUUACCAAGGCAACGAUGCGUAGCCGACCUGAGAGGGUGAUCAGCCACACUGGAACUGAGACACGGUCCAGACUCCUACGGGAGGCAGCAGUAGGGAAUCUUCCGCAAUGGGCGAAAGCCUGACGGAGCAACGCCGCGUGAGUGAUGAAGGUCUUCGGAUCGUAAAACUCUGUUAUUAGGGAAGAACAAAUGUGUAAGUAACUAUGCACGUCUUGACGGUACCUAAUCAGAAAGCCACGGCUAACUACGUG